UAUUAAAAAUUUUCUUCCAUUUGUACUGUUACAAACUGGCAUGAUUGAUGGAAUAACCAAACAAUGACAUGUGAUAUUCCUCGUGUACCUCAUGCUGACGUACAUGGAUCAGUUUUUAACCAUGAAAAUGGAUGAAAUUUUUAUCA
rfam:Gossypium hirsutum cultivar TM-1 unplaced genomic scaffold scaffold413.1, whole genome shotgun sequence